UCAACCAUCAAGCCUGGCUUGUUAUUGGACCCUUUGCAGCUGAAAUAUGUGGCAGGUCCGAAAAAUAAUGACGGUGUCAUGUUUGACCCUAGAUGCAACGAGCUUUUAAUAGCACGCAUUGAAGUGGUUGACUGACCUAGUCUUUAAUCAUCAUUUUUCUAA
rnacentral:misc_RNA from 1 species